rnacentral:tRNA from 1 species
GCCUGGUUGGCUCACUUGGUAAAGUAUGCAACCCUUGAUCUUAGGGUUGUGGGUUCAAGCCCCACAUCAGGUG